CAGCCGCCACGGUAAUACGAAGGGUGCAAGCGUUACUCAGAAUUACUGGGCGUAAAGCGCACGCAGGCGGUCUGACAAGUCAGAUGUGAAAUCCCCGGGCUUAACCUGGGAACUGCAUUUGAAACUGUCAGGCUGGAGUCUUGUAGAGGGGGGUGGAAUUCCAGGUGUAGCGGUGAAAUGCGUAGAGAUCUGGAGGAAUACCGGUGGCGAAGGCGGCCCCCUGGACAAAGACUGACGCUCAGGUGCGAAAGCGUGGGGAGCAAACAGGAUUAGAUACCCCUGUAGUCCCUGUCUCUUAUAC
rnacentral:rRNA from 1 species